AUUGAACGCUGGCGGCAUGCCUUACACAUGCAAGUCGAACGGCAGCACGGGAGCAAUCCUGGUGGCGAGUGGCGAACGGGUGAGUAAAGUAUCGGAACGUGCCCAGUCGUGGGGGAUAACGUAGCGAAAGUUACGCUAAUACCGCAUACGAUCUAUGGAUGAAAGCGGGGGAUCGCAAGACCUCGCGCGAUUGGAGCGGCCGAUAUCAGAUUAGGGAGAUGGUGGGGUAUAGGCUCACCAAGCCGACGAUCUGUAGCUGGUCUGAGAGGACGACCAGCCACACUGGGACUGAGACACGGCCCAGACUCCUACGGGAGGCAGCAGUGGGGAAUUUUGGACAAUGGGCGAAAGCCUGAUCCAGCCAUGCCGCGUGCAGGAUGAAGGCCUUCGGGUUGUAAACUGCUUUUGUACGGAACGAAAAGGUUUGGCCUAAUAAGCUGAGCUCAUGACGGUACCGUAAGAAUAAGCACCGGCUAACUACGUGCCAGCCGCCGCCGUAA
rnacentral:rRNA from 1 species